GACUUGUGGGUAGCGGUGAAAUUCCAAUCGGGCCCGGAGAUAGCUGGUUCUCCCCGAAAUAGCUUUAGGGCUAGCCUCAAGGUGAGAACUACAGAGGUAGAGCGCUGAAUGUCCUAGUGGGUAUGGCACCGCACGAAGCCUAUCAAACUCCGACUGUCGUCCUCUUAUACUGGGGAGUGAGACUGGGGGUGAUAAGCUUCAUAGUCGAAAGGGCAACAGCCCAGAUCGUCAGCUACGGUCCCUAAAUGUAAGUUAAGUGGUAAAGGAUGU
rnacentral:rRNA from 1 species